rnacentral:rRNA from 1 species
UACGGGGGGGGCAAGCGUUGUUCGGAAUUACUGGGCGUAAAGGGCGCGUAGGCGGUUGGAUAAGUCAGCUGUGAAAACCACGAGCUUAACUCGUGGCCUGCAGUUGAGACUGUCUGGCUUGAGUGUGGGAGAGGAGAGUGGAAUUCCUGGUGUAGCGGUGAAAUGCGUAGAUAUCUGGAGGAACACCGGUGGCGAAGGCGGCAUCCUGGACCGGCAUUGACGCUGAGGCGCGAAAGCCAGGGGAGCAAACGGG